rnacentral:rRNA from 1 species
UAUGCGGCUGCUUACCAUGCAGUCGAACGGCAGCACGGGUGCUUGCACCUGGUGGCGAGUGGCGAACGGGUGAGUAAUACAUCGGAACAUGUCCUGUAGUGGGGGAUAGCCCGGCGAAAGCCGGAUUAAUACCGCAUACGAUCUGAGGAUGAAAGCGGGGGACCUUCGGGCCUCGCGCUAUAGGGUUGGCCGAUGGCUGAUUAGCUAGUUGGUGGGGUAAAGGCCUACCAAGGCGACGAUCAGUAGCUGGUCUGAGAGGACGACCAGCCACACUGGGACUGAGACACGGCCCAGACUCCUACGGGAGGCAGCAGUGGGGAAUUUUGGACAAUGGGCGAAAGCCUGAUCCAGCAAUGCCGCGUGUGUGAAGAAGGCCUUCGGGUUGUAAAGCACUUUUGUCCGGAAAGAAAUCCUUGGUCCUAAUAUGGCCGGGGGAUGACGGUACCGGAAGAAUAAGCACCGGCUAACUACGUGCCAGAGCC